GAGCAUGUGUCUGAGGAGCAUCCAUUAUACGAGAGGAGAACUUCACUAUCCAUCGACAAACUAAAGUGUGGAGACAUUUCACUGACACUCUCCAAAGUGAAACUCUCUGAUGCAGGAACCUACAAAUGCCUUGUUCCCCCAGAUCGUCCGGAAUCUGCGGUUGAGCUCACUGUGGGUUCAGUCUCCUCACCUGAAAUAGACAUUUCCAAAGUCAGCAAUGGAGUGCUGUUAGAGUGUAAAUCUAAAGGCUGGUAUCCAGAGCCUGAGGUGGUCUGGCUGGACGGUGAGGGAAACGUCCUCUCUGCUGGACCUACAGAGACAGUCAGAGGUCCUGAUGACCUCUAUACUGUCAGCAGCAGAGUGACUGUGGAGAAGAGACACAGCAACAUCUUCACCUGUAGAGUCCAACAGAAGGACAUCAACCAGACCAGAGAGACACACAUCCAACUUCCAGCUGAUCUCUUUAUGGUCCAGUCUAGUUCUGCUGUUCGCAUCACCAUCUGCUUGGCUGUGUGCUUCAUCGCUGUUGUUGCAGUUUUCUUCGUUGUGUGGAAAUGGGGACGAAAUGAAAUCAAAACCACAAACAGCAGCAGUGAACUUCAGCUUCUGAUGGAUGGAGAAAGACACAAAGAGCAGCGCAUGACAGAAAGUGAGAAAAUGAAGUAUUUGGAACAGACAAAAGCAAAACUUGAAGAGGAGUUACAGAAGAAUGAGGGGGAAAUGCAGCAUGUACAACAGGAGAUUACAGCACUGAUGGACCAGAAGAAGGUUCUGAAAAACCAGAAAGAGAAACUCAUCUUACUACAGCAGGAGGAUAAGACUCAGAUAGAGGAGUGCAAGAAAAUGAACCCUCCAACAACAGAUAAAGAUAAAAAAAUGAAGAAGCGUGAAAAGACCCUACAGGAUCUGGAGAGGAGAAAGAGAGAACAUGAGGAACUGUUGAAGAACACAGAGACACUACUGGAAACAACAGAAUCUAUGAUUCUUGGAAUGACAGCAAGGAAGACAAACCUAGAGAGAGAUAAGGAGCAAAUAAAUAAAAACCUUAAAGAGACAGAGAGACAGAGAGAAAAGAGUGAGAGGAAACUUCAGUCAGAGCAGUCAGAGAGAGAAAAGGAAAAGCCAUCAUCCAAAGAUCUUAGUGAGGUUGUUCUUGAUGAAUCAAACAAUUUGUGAACAUUUAGAAAAUCUGUUGUAAUUUCUGACCCCUAGUGUCACCUGUUUAGGUCUGUUUAAUCCAUUGAUUCUAUAUGAUUGGUUUACUGGAUAAUUAGUUCAAAUCAAAGCAAUCUACCUGGUUCACACUAGAUGUUAAGUUUUGUCAGUUUAUUCUUUUCCAUUUUUUUAAUAUCAUUUUAAUAUUGCCGGUUUUUAAUAUAUUGUGUUGUAAUAUUAUUGUAUUGUAUUUGUUGUAAGUUCAUAUGAGCCUAUCCUUCACUAACAACAUUCUGAAUACGUUAUGGUACUUUAUAUAAGCAUUCCCAAAGAGUUUUUAUUUUAUUAAUUAUUUAAUUUUUAAUUAAUUAUUAAGACAAGUAUUUCACUCCAAAUGCUCAUAGUUCAAAAAGGAGAAGAUGUGUGCCCUCUGGUGGUGAGAUCAGCUCAAAGUUGAGAUCAUUGGAAAACAGAUGACCUGCAGAAUAUUCAGUCCAUCAGCGGUUUCCUCCAGAAAACCAUAACAAAAACGUGCAG
rnacentral:lncRNA from 15 species